UGUUGGAGUCUAGGAAGGUUGUGUGAAGACAGUUGUGUCUAUCCCCGCUUCGUGAAAUUUGCAUAUCCAACAUAUAGAAGGAUAUAAAAUAAACAAAAGUUCGCAUGUAAACCAAUAAGUGUAAUCAUUCAUUUUUUAACCCUGAA